rnacentral:misc_RNA from 1 species
UACGUAGGUGGCAAGCGUUGUCCGGAUUUAUUGGGUUUAAAGGGUGCGUAGGCGGGUCUUUAAGUCAGUGGUGAAAGCCCAUAGCUCAACUAUGGAAUUGCCAUUGAUACUGGAGGUCUUGAAUUCAGUAGAGGUAGGCGGAAUUGAUGGUGUAGCGGUGAAAUGCAUAGAUACCAUCAGGAACACCGAUUGCGAAGGCAGCUUACUGGACUUGAAUUGACGCUGAGGCACGAAAGCGUGGGGAGCGAACAGG